GCUUCGAUUGUCUAGGGACAGAGGCAAUAGGACCGUUUGGUUUUGGUUCUGCUAUGAACAGAGGCAGUAGCCGAACGUUUCAAGUUCAUUUUGUCCACUAGUAUGUCUCGGUUGUCUGGGGGCAGAGGCAAUAGGAUUGUUCGGCUUCGGUUCUGCUAUGAACAAAGGCAAUAACCGAACGUUCCAAGUUGAUUUUGUCCACUAAUGUUCUCGGUUGUCUGGGGACAGAGGCAAUAGGACCGUUCGACUUCAACUCUGCUAUGAACCGAAGCAAUAUGUCUUGCCAGACAGGUGACCUUCUUUGAACCGAACAUUCUGAGGCAUUAAUAUGCCUAAGUUUAGGCCCAAAUUGAGGCCUAUAGGACUGUUCGGCCUCAGUAAUAGGACCGUUCGGCCUCGGUCUUUUAACCGAGGUAAUAGUCAACACGAAUGCAUUUUCUCGUGCAAUGUUCUUCCUCUUCCCUUUCGUGCCUCCAAAGAAGUUCUUCUCUCCAACCUAGGGUUCUUGUUCCUCUUCUACUCUCCGCUCUGAUUCGCGGCAAAGGAGGAAGCUUCCUUCCCUCCCCUUUUUUUUAUUUCAAUUAAGUUGUUUUCUGUUUGAUUGGUUCUCUGCGAGAGUGGUGGUGUUUGAUUUUAUUCCUAAUCUCUUCUCUCUGCCAUUUAUCUUCUUCACCCUUUUCUCACUGGUUCUAGGUUUGUAUUGUAGAUAGGGGAAACACCAAUUUUUUCCCUAUUGCUGGUUUGUCUCAACAAACCUUAUUCAAAGGUUUUAUUCCCAAUCUAUUCUCUCUGCCAUUUAUCUCGAGAGGGUCUAUUCAUAAUAUCUUCUCUGCCAUUUUUAAGACUUCUCUCAACAAACUUGCUUCAAGCUUCCUUUCUCGUAGACAACCAACCUGGGAGAGGCGGCUAUGGUGAGACGAGGGCGCGAUAAGGGCACUGCGAUGGUGAGGCGAGGACACUACAAGGGCACUACGAGGGUGAGAACCGUUCGGCGAGGACAAUAACCAUUCAACGAGGGCGAGAAUCGUUCAACGAUGGCGAGAACUGUUCGGUUCAGUACACACCGAGGCCUAAAGUUUGAAAAACAAAAACACCCUACUGCCUCGGUUAUCUAAGAACAGAGACAAAAAUCCGGCCCCAUUUUGCCUCGGUUUUUUACCGAGACAAAAAACCUGUCCUGUUUACCUCGUCUGUAUAUGCCUCGGUUAUGAACCACUGUCUAUAGAUGAAAAUAACCGUUAUUGUUUUCCUUUACUACACUAAUUAACUAUGUAAUUUAUAAAUAUGACACCUAAUUACAUUAAACUUCAGUACACUAUAAGAUUAGACUUAUUU
rnacentral:lncRNA from 1 species